UACAGAGGUCUCAAGCGUUGUUCGGAUUCAUUGGGCGUAAAGGGUGCGUAGGUGGCGCCAUAAGUCAGGUGUGAAAUCUCGGGGCUCAACCCCGAAACUGCAUUUGAUACUGUGGUGCUCGAGUACUGGAGAGGAGAUUGGAAUUUACGGUGUAGCAGUGAAAUGCGUAGAUAUCGUAAGGAAGACCAGUGGCGAAGGCGAAUCUCUGGACAGUUACUGACACUGAGCACGAAGGCCAGGGGAGCAAACGGG
rnacentral:rRNA from 1 species